UACGUAGGGGGCUAGCGUUGUCCGGAAUCAUUGGGCGUAAAGAGCGCGUAGGCGGCUAGGUAAGUCCGACGUGAAAUCUGGAGGCUCAACCUCCAGCGGUCGUUGGAAACUACUUGGCUAGAGUCCGGAAGAGGAGAGUGGAAUUCCUGGUGUAGCGGUGAAAUGCGCAGAUAUCAGGAAGAACACCGAUGGCGAAAGCAGCUCUCUGGGACGGUACUGACGCUGAGGCGCGAAAGCGUGGGGAGCGAACAGG
rnacentral:rRNA from 1 species